rnacentral:rRNA from 1 species
UGGGGAAUAUUGCGCAAUGGCCGAAAGGCUGACGCAGCGACGCCGCGUGGGGGAUGAAGCAUUUCGGUGUGUAAACCCCUGUUGCCCGGGACGAACAAGCAGAUUUUUCUGCUCUGACGGUACCGGGUGAGGAAGCACCGGCUAACUCCGUGCCAGCAGCCGCGGUAAUACGGAGGGUGCGAGCGUUGUCCGGAAUCACUGGGCGUAAAGGGCGCGUAGGCGGUCUGCUAAGCGUGCGGUGAAAGCCCGGGGCUCAACCCCGGGUCUGCCGUGCGAACUGGUGGACUAGAACACUGUAGAGGCAGGUGGAAUUCCGGGUGUAGCGGUGGAAUGCGUAGAGAUCCGGAAGAACACCGGUGGCGAAGGCGGCCUGCUGGGCAGUAGCUGACGCUGAGGCGCGACAGCGUGGGGAGCAAACG